UAGAAUUUGCCACCGGGCAAGAAGAAUGUAUAGCAUUCGUUAACAUAUCGUUAGGUCUUUGAAGAUGUGUUUAGCGUAUGCUUAUUUUUU
rnacentral:ncRNA from 1 species